rnacentral:piRNA from 1 species
UCCAUUUGUUGGGACACCAUAGAGAGAAA